GGUCAAGAGCUCAGCCCGCACGCCUCCGGACGUGGGCUGACGGCAACCGCGUCCCGACACGGUGCCCUCCGGAGAAGACCCGGGCCGGCGUCACCUCGACGCCGUCAAGACGGUCAC
rnacentral:ncRNA from 2 species